rnacentral:rRNA from 1 species
GACAGAGGGUGCAAACGUUGCUCGGAAUCACUGGGCGUAAAGGGCGUGUAGGCGGGAAGGAAAGUCAGAUGUGAAAUCCCUGGGCUCAACCCAGGAACUGCAUUUGAAACUCCCUUUCUUGAGUACCGGAGAGGAAAGUGGAAUUCCUGGUGUAGAGGUGAAAUUCGUAGAUAUCAGGAGGAACACCGGUGGCGAAGGCGGCUAUCUGGACAGAGUCUGACGCUGAGGCGGCGAAAGCUAGGGGAGCAAACAGG